AACGAACGCUGGCGGCGUGGAUAAGACAUGCAAGUCGAACGGGACAAGUAGCAAUAUUUGUCUAGUGGCGAACGGGUGCGUAACACGUGGGCAACAUGCCUGGAAGAGCGGGAUAGCCCGGGGAAACUCGGAUUAAUACCGCAUGUGACAACGGGGCGGAUUCGCCCUGUUUUCAAAGGUGGGGACCGCAAGGCCUGCCGCUUCCAGAUUGGCCCGCGUCCUAUCAGCUAGUUGGCGGGGUAACGGCCCACCAAGGCGACGACGGGUAGCUGGUCUGAGAGGACGACCAGGCACACUGGAACUGAGACACGGUCCAGACACCUACGGGUGGCAGCAGUCGAGAAUCUUUCACAAUGGGGGAAACCCUGAUGGAGCGACGCCGCGUGGAGGAUGACGGUCUUCGGAUUGUAAACUCCUGUCAUGAAAGAACAAGCGGAGCGGGUGAACAGCCCGCCGAGUUGAUAGUAUUUCAAGAGGAAGGGACGGCUAACUUCGUGCCAGCAGCCGCGGUAACAC
rnacentral:rRNA from 1 species